AUUAUGAGGUUGUUCUUUAAAUGUUCUUUUCUAUCUUCUUAAAACCAUUUUAAACAUAAAAUUUGUUUAAUGGCAAUAAAACCAAUUGCAGCACACAAAUUAUUGACGGCAUUUAAGAAGUUGCAGGAAAGAAUGCUCCUCUUACUGAAUCAAAGCAUUGGUCAUUAAAUGGUCAAUAAAAGUCGGUAAAGGGAAUUAAAAUUUUCCUUCCAAUUUAUUUCGAGAAUUUAUUCUCCCUCGAAUUUAAAUCCCGGCAAAAUAUUCCCUCUACCGCCGCAGAAUAGAGCAAGCCUCUCUCCCUCAUCAUCACCAGGUAAUCUUAGGUUUCCUGCAGAAAUUCGUCGUUAAUUAUUGAUAUUUCUCAGAUCUAGUGUUGUUUCUGUGUCGAAUUGAUGAAAAUUUCACCAAUGCCUAUUCUGGGUCACUGGUCCGCAUAUCUGCUUGAAUUUUUAUAUUGUCGAUCUAUAAUAAACAUGUAGGAUUUUAGAGAAAUCUGCGAGAAUUUUGUAUGUUGUAUAUUUUUUUGUUGUAACAGAAUUAUACAAAUGUUCCUAUCUAUAUCUAUAUAUAUAUAUAUAAAAGGAGAAGCAAAAGAAUGUAAUGAUGCCAAGUGGCAUAACUACAAUUCAACAACUGUCAUUUUUUAAGACACAUCUCCAAUAAAGUUGGAGUUAGUUUGAAAUUUAAAAUUUGAACUAGAACUAUAAAAUAGACACACAAAAAAAACAGUCAUCAUUCACAAAAAAAAGGAAUACGAAUUGCCUUCCAUGUUCGGCAGUUAUUUCAUUUAUUCACUAGAGUUGGAAACUAAGACGUUUUUCGUUAAGAAUAAUCAAAUAAUUAUUAUCAAAUUUUAAAAGUUUACAUUUAAUUACAGUUAUAAGUCCUAAUAAUAAGGAGAUAUAUAAGGCUAACAGUUACAAUCUUUUUAAGUACCCUUUCAAGCCAAAAAGCCUUCACAUUUCACCUGCCGUUUCAACCAAACACAUAAUUUUCAAUUCCAAACGCCUCAAGUUCCAACUGCACUGGUACUCAAGACAGAGAAAAAAUUAACAAAGGAGAAGAAGUUUUACUGUCCGUGAGAAAGAUUUGAAGGCGUUAUAUUGGGGUUUUCCCUUUUUGGGAUUCAUCGAAGCCGGAGCAAAAAUCUAUUGGAUCACAGGAACUUCGGGGGACAAUUUUUUCUCUUCUUCUGAAAAUGGGGUGUUGCAUUUACCCCAGCAGGACGUACUUGAGCAAAACAAGCAGGCGAAAACAAAAAACUUUGUCGAUAAGGAAUACUCUGUGGAAUCCACUGAUCAUGAGAGCUAUUACUCAAGGUUUGGAUAGUCUUGAACAGUACAAAGGGUGAAUACGCAUCUAUCAUUAGUGGGAAAAACUUAGGAUGAAUAGUUAAUUUCCUUUUGUAUUAUCUACUCAUCCCAUAGACACUUAGUAAAUAGUGGUUGUAUGAUUCAUACGACAAGUUAGCGAGCUAAUUGCAUCCUGAAACGAAAAUAAGGCUCUGAAGGUAUAUGUAGUCACCCAUAUUGUUUUUAAAAUAAACGUACAUAAUUUGUCCA